UGCCUGUUGCAUCAACUAUGAUGGUUUCU
rnacentral:piRNA from 1 species